UACGUAGGGUGCAAGCGUUAAUCGGAAUUACUGGGCGUAAAGCGUGCGCAGGCGGUUAUGCAAGACAGAUGUGAAAUCCCCGGGCUUAACCUGGGAACUGCAUUUGUGACUGCAUGGCUAGAGUGCGGCAGAGGGGGAUGGAAUUCCGCGUGUAGCAGUGAAAUGCGUAGAUAUGCGGAGGAACACCGAUGGCGAAGGCAAUCCCCUGGGCCUGCACUGACGCUCAUGCACGAAAGCGUGGGGAGCAAACAGG
rnacentral:rRNA from 1 species